rnacentral:lncRNA from 1 species
GGAUUCGCGAGGGUGUGGUCAGGCGUCCGGCGUUCGCCCUCCGGCUGCUUCGCUCCCGUCCGGCCGCCAACCCCCUCCUGCUCCCCCGUUGUCCGCGCCGUUGGUUUGCAGCAUCUCUCGACCGCCGCACCCACCCACGGCCUCUAUUUCUACCCCGGCGACUUUGUUGGUCUUCGUGAUUCGGUACGUUUGUCCGUUUUUGCCUGGAUCCUCAUGUGUAUUGUAAGUUGAUUUAGUACUCCCUCCGUUCACUUUUGUAAGUCAUUUCAGACAACUCAAAAUAGGCUGUUUUGUACAUUGUCUGAAAUGUCUUCAAGGUCUUAUAAAAGUGAACAGAGGGAGUAGCAGAAUCGGUCUGCUCCAGCCAUUCAAGCCGCUAAGCCAAUUUCAGUGGCCUCUACAGCAGGCGGUUAUCAGUUGCUGGUUGUCCUCGCUCUGCAAGUAGCAGCCUCAAAUCUCAUGGUCACUGUUUUGUUGUUGUGAUGUAUUUUGGGUCAGCAAAGCAAAGCUAGAGUAGAUUGUCUUCAGAGUUUGUUGGUUGUAAUGUAGGAUCAGUGUUAAUCCUUUGUGCAGCAAGCUUAAUACUAGUAGGUGUUAAUCCUGCAGUUAGCAAGUACUAAGGCUCAGGUCUGCUGAAUCUAACAAGCUUAGGUUGGAUUCAGGGGGGCUUUGGUCUGUUCAUCUUUUCAGGGGGAGUAGUAAUUGUACAUGUAGUUUUCUAGUGGGCAGUAGUUCAUGUUCAGGGGGGGCUUGAUAUGGUUUUUCUCUGUUAGAUGUACUAUUCAGGAAUAGUAAGGGAUAUAUAUGUGAGAUUGCUGUACUUCUCCACUUAGUUUUUUUUUGUUAUUGUAAUUUUAGUGGAUUGUAAAUUGCAUUUCUUAGUGUAAUCCCUAGUGGAUUUACACUGUAAUUCUUAGUGGAUUUACACUGUAAUUAUAUUUGGAUUUGCACUGUAAUGUUCAUCGGAAUUCCAGUGCAUUUUCUUCGUGGUUUUUACACUGUAAUUAUGUUUGGAUUUACACUGUAAUUCUUAGUGGAUUUACACUGUAAUUAUAUUUGGAUUUGCACUAUAGUCUUCAUCGGAGUUCUAGUGUAUUUUCUUCGUGGUUUUGCACUGUAAUUAUAUUUGGACUUACACUGUAAUAUUCAUCGAAAUUCCAGUGUAUUUUCUUAGUGGAUUUAGACUUUAAUAAUAUUUAGAUUUACACUGUAAUCUCAAUUGGAAUUCCAGUGUAUUUUUCUUAGUGAGUGAAGUGUAAUUCUCAGUUGGUUUCCACUGUAAAUUGCAGGGGAUUUCUUCACACUAAUUCUCAGUGGGUUUCCACUAUAAUUCCACUUAUUAGCUGUAAUUCCAAUUGGAUUUACAGUGUAAAUCAAGUUGCACUGAUAUUGUCAGUGGGUUUAGUGUAAUUGACAAUAAGUUCUUAUUUUUGGAUUUUUAGUUUAUUUUAGUGGUUUUUUACAGUGUAAUCCUUACUGGAAUUUACACUAUAAUGUGUAGUGUUUUGUUUCAUCUUUUGUAAAUUACAGUCUAUAUUAAUCUGAAUACCUGUGUACUUACCGUCUUAAGUUAAUGUACAUUAACCCUGUAACUUACUAUCCCAUUUUCAGUCUAUUUUUCAGUGUAUUUACACUGUAAAGUCAUUUGGAUUCUAUGUAAUUACACCGUAAUGUUAGUGCACUUACACUCUAUUUUCCUGUGUAAUUUUAUUUGUAAUUGUAAUGAUUUACAUUUGUAAUUACAGUCUAAGUUAAUGUAGAUUUUUAACCCUGUAACUUAUUAUUCUAUGUACUGUAAUUUCCAAUCUAUUUUCAGUAUUUACACUGCAAAUUCAUUUGUAUUAUAUGUAAUUACACUGUAAUUUUAGUGCACUUAUACUCUAUUUCCCUGUGUAAUUUCAGUGAAUUACAUUUGUAAUUGUAGUGAUUUAUAUUUGUAAUUACAGUUUAAGUUAACUGUAAAUUUUAACCCUGUAACUUACUAUAUCCUAUGUACUGUAAUUUCCAGUUUUUUUUUCCAGUGUAUUUACAAGGAAGGUCAGAGUAAUUUACAACCAAGUUGUAAUGUGACAAAAUAUCACAGUAAUCUCUCAAGAUAUGUUGAUUUCUGUAUUUUUUUAGU